rnacentral:rRNA from 1 species
ACGGAAGGCAGCAGUGGGGAAUAUUGCACAAUGGGGGAAACCCUGAUGCAGCGACGCCGCGUGAGUGAAGAAGUAUUUCGGUAUGUAAAGCUCUAUCAGCAGGGAAGAAAAUGACGGUACCUGACUAAGAAGCCCCGGCUAACUACGUGCCAGCAGCCGCGGUAAUACGUAGGGGGCAAGCGUUAUCCGGAUUUACUGGGUGUAAAGGGAGCGUAGACGGUUCUGCGAGUCUGAUGUGAAAGGCAGGGGCUCAACUCCUGGACUGCAUUGGAAACUGUAGAACUAGAGUGCCGGAGAGGUAAGCGGAAUUCCUAGUGUAGCGGUGAAAUGCGUAGAUGUUAGGAGGAACACCAGUGGCGAAGGCGGCUUACUGGACGGUAACUGACGUUGAGGCUCGAAAGCAUGGGGAGCGAACAGGAUUAGAUACCCUGGUA